AGUCCAUGAUGUGGGCAUCUCCUAAGAAACUCCUGUAAUCUUUCCCAUGCUUCAUACAAUGAUUCAUCAUUCAUUUGCAUAAAAUUAAUAAUAUCAUCACGCAUUUU
rnacentral:snoRNA from 1 species